CCGAGUUUACAACUCCCAAACCCCUGUGAACAUACCAAUUGUUGCCUCUGCGGAUCAGCCGCUCCCGGUAAAACGGGACGGCCCGCCAGAGGACCCCUAAACUCUGUUUCUAUAUGUAACUUCUGAGUAAAACCAUAAAUAAAUC
rnacentral:misc_RNA from 1 species